rnacentral:tRNA from 1 species
GGUUCGGUAGCUCAACUGGAUAGAGCAUCAGAUUUCUAAUCUGACGGUUAAGGGUUCGAGUCCCUUCCGAAUCA